AGGCGGGUAAGUUAAAUAAAACUUUGGGGUUCAUGUCCCCACUAUAUACUUUAAAGUAUCCUGCCAA
rnacentral:tRNA from 1 species